rnacentral:rRNA from 1 species
UGGGGAAUAUUGGACAAUGGGCGAAAGCCUGAUCCAGCCAUGCCGCGUGUGUGAAGAAGGCCUUUUGGUUGUAAAGCACUUUAAGCGAGGAGGAGGGUACUGGUAUUAAUACUACCAGGUACUGGACGUUACUCGCAGAAUAAGCACCGGCUAACUCUGUGCCAGCAGCCGCGGUAAUACAGAGGGUGCAAGCGUUAAUCGGAAUUACUGGGCGUAAAGCGCGCGUAGGUGGUUCGUUAAGUUGAAUGUGAAAGCCCCGGGCUCAACCUGGGAACUGCAUCCAAAACUGGCGAGCUAGAGUAGGGCAGAGGGUGGUGGAAUUUCCUGUGUAGCGGUGAAAUGCGUAGAUAUAGGAAGGAACACCAGUGGCGAAGGCGACCACCUGGGCUCAUACUGACACUGAGGUGCGAAAGCGUGGGGAGCAAACAGG